rnacentral:piRNA from 1 species
UCAGAAUUGACAAGUGCCGGGUGGUGAUU